CCUACGGGAGGCAGCAGUAGGGGAUAUUGGACAAUGGGGGAAACCCUGAUCCAGCGACGCCGCGUGAGUGAAGACGUAUUUCGGUUUGUAAACCUCUAUCAUCAGUGAAGAUAGAGAUGACGGCACCGGAGUAAGCUGCCCCUACCAACUACGUGCCAGCAGCGGUGGUAAUACGUAGGGGGCCAGCGUUCUCCGGAUUUACUUGGUGUAAAGGGGGCGUAGACGGUAAUGCAAGUCAGUAGUGAAAGGCAGGGGCCAAACCCACGGACUGCUCUGGAAACUGUCUAACUGGAGUGUAGGAGAGGCAGGCGGAAUUCCCAGUGUAGCGGUGAAAUGCGUAGAGAUUAGGAGGAACACCAGUGGCGAAGGCGGCCUGCUGGGCUUUAACUGACGUUGAGGCUCGAAAGCGUGGGGAGCAAACAGGAUUAGAUACCCCAGUAGUC
rnacentral:rRNA from 1 species